GAUGAACGCUAGCGGGAGGCUUAACACAUGCAAGUCGAGGGGUAAAUGGUAGCAAUACUAUGAGACCGGCGGACGGGUGCGUAACGCGUAUGCAACAUACCUUGUGCAGGGGGAUAGCCCGUGGAAACGCGGAUUAAUAUUCCAUAGUCCAGCUAUAUCGCAUGGUAUAGUUGGUAAAGAUUUAUCGGCACAAGUUUGGCAUGCGUCUGAUUAGCUUGUUGGUAGGGUAACGGCCUACCAAGGCUACGAUCAGUAGGGGUUCUGAGAGGAUUAACCCCCACACUGGUACUGAGACACGGACCAGACUCCUACGGGAGGCAGCAGUGGGGAAUAUUGCACAAUGGGCGAAAGCCUGAUGCAGCGACGCCGCGUGAGGGAUGACGGCCUUCGGGUUGUAAACCUCUUUCAGCAGGGAAGAUAAUGACUGUACCUGCAGAAUAAGCUCCGGCUAACUUCGUG
rnacentral:rRNA from 1 species